rnacentral:rRNA from 1 species
GACGAACGCUGGCGGCGUGCUUAACACAUGCAAGUCGAACGGAAAGGCCUCUUUCGGGGGGUACUCGAGUGGCGAACGGGUGAGUAACACGUGAGUAACCUGCCCUUUACUUUGGGAUAACUUCAGGAAACUGGGGCUAAUACCGGAUAGGAGCUCCUGCUGCAUGGUGGGGGUUGGAAAGUUUCGGCGGUUGGGGAUGGACUCGCGGCUUAUCAGCGUGUUGGUGGGGUAGUGGCUUACCAAGGCUUUGACGGGUAGCCGGCCUGAGAGGGUGACCGGCCACAUUGGGACUGAGAUACGGCCCAGACUCCUACGGGAGGCAGCAGUGGGGAAUAUUGCACAAUGGGUGGAAGCCUGAUGCAGCAACGCCGUGUGCGGGAUGACGGCCUUCGGGUUGUAAACCGCUUUCGCUCAUGACGAAGCUUUGUGUGACGGUAGUGGGUAAAGAAGCACCGGCUAACUACGUG